CGCGUAGGUGGUUUGUUAAGUUGGAAGUGAAAGCCCCGGGCUCAACCUGGGAACUGCUUUCAAAACUGGCAAGCUAGAGUAUGGCAGAGGGUGGUGGAAUUUCCUGUGUAGCGGUGAAAUGCGUAGAUAUAGGAAGGAACACCAGUGGCGAAGGCGACCACCUGGGCUAAUACUGACACUGAGGUGCGAAAGCGUGGGGAGCAAACA
rnacentral:rRNA from 1 species